UCCUGGCUCAGAUUGAACGCUGGCGGCAGGCCUAACACAUGCAAGUCGAGCGGUAGAGAGAAGCUUGCCCUUCUCUUGAGAGCGGCGGACGGGUGAGUAAUGCCUAGGAAUCUGCCUGGUAGUGGGGGAUAACGUUCGGAAACGGUCGCUAAUACCGCAUACGUCCUACGGGAGAAAUCAGGGGACCUUCGGGCCUUGCGCUAUCAGAUGAGCCUAGGUCGGAUUAGCUAGUUGGUGGGGUAAUGGCUCACCAAGGCGACGAUCCGUAACUGGUCUGAGAGGAUGAUCAGUCACACUGGAACUGAGACACGGUCCUGACUCCUACGGGAGGCAGCAGUGGGGAAUAUUGGAGAAUGCGCGAAAGCCUGAUCCAGCCGUGCCGCGUGUGUGAAGAAGGUCUUCGGAUUGUAAAGCACUUUAAGUUGGGAGGAAGGGUUGUAGAUUAAUACUCUGCAAAUUUGACGUUACCGACAGAAUAACCACCGGCUAACUCUGUGCCAGCAGCCGCGGUAAUACAGAGGGUGCAAGCGUUAAUCGGAAUUACUGGGCGUAAAGCGCGCGUAGGUGGUUAGUUAAGUUGGAUGUGAAAUCCCCGGGCUCAACCUGGGAACUGCAUUCAAAACUGACUGACUAGAGUAUGGUAGAGGGUGGUGGAAUUUCCUGUGUAGCGGUGAAAUGCGUAGAUAUAGGAAGGAACACCAGUGGCGAAGGCGACCACCUGGACUGAUACUGACACUGAGGUGCGAAAGCGUGGGGAGCAAACAGGAU
rnacentral:rRNA from 1 species